UCAGACAAAAAAAGCACGCUCGGUAUGUAUAUCAUCCAGAUUUUACUCCCCAGACUGUGAAGAGACAGGGAGUAAAGGAGGCAGAGCAAGGCACAGAGAGAGAGGGAGAGAGAGAGAGAGAGAGACAGAGACACAGACACAGACACAGAGGGAGAGAGCCUAAGCGGAGCCGGACGGACCAAGCGCCGCAGCCCGGUUCCUCGGGACCCGCUCCCCGCGGCCGCGGCCCCGCUCCCCGCCGGCCGACCCCAGUCCUACUGAAAGCCCACGGAGGGGACCUUGGGAGGCAGCGCGCAGCAGAUAGAGCCAUCCGCCCAGAGCUUCGCAGCACUAUGGAAGAAAAAUCUCUAUAAAACGAAAUAGGCAAUCAACUGAAAUCUAUCCUCUUUAAAUAAACUGAUUCCUUAGUAUUUUCCCAGUGUUGCUGUAAGUUGUUGUCUGUGAUGUCCCCCAGGGCUCUUUCCUCUGCUCUCUGAUUUGGUGUAUAAAAGCAGCUCUGAAU
rnacentral:lncRNA from 7 species